rnacentral:lncRNA from 1 species
UCCAACAAAACUUCCGUGCUUCACUGCUCUUCUCAACCAGACAUUCUCUAAGCUCAGAAUCUUCGCCGUGAAAACGUAAAGAAGAAACACAAAGACCCAGCUCUCAGAAAACCAGCAGCCAUGUCUUUUCUUCUCUCUAAUCUAUCACCUUCGAUACUUCUUCAAACCGGAAAAUCCCCAAACCUUAGACCCAUCUUCACUCCAUCUCAAUCGCGGAUACAAGUAUCUUAGUAGAUGUCUUUCAAACUUGUGUAGCAUACAGGUGAAUUCACUUGUCCAUCCAUGUCUUUUCUUCUCUCUAAUCUAUCACCUUCGAUACUUCUUCAAACCGGAAAAUCCCCAAACCUUAGACCCAUCUUCACUCCAUCUCAAUCGCCAUCGUCUUCAACAGGCUACGUGUUUGAUGAAGAUAGUCUCUCUACACUCUCCCUUUCUUCCGUCCAGUCUCCUCCUCUUCAAGAUGCCCAGGUUAAGACAAAACCCACUCCUCAAGACAAGCAUAACCACGACAGAGAUGAGUUCUACAUCAAUCUCGGUCUCGCUGUCCGUACGCUUCGUGAAGAUUUGCCUUUGAUCUUCGCUAAAGAU